UGUGAUGUCUGAAUUAUUUAUCUUUAGACCAUAAUCCUGUCACCUUAGGUCGAUCGGUACCUCAGUUUGAUGCUUAAAAACUAAGUUAAUUAGUUUGAUAAAGGUAUUGAAUUCAGUUCCUAAACUUUGUCUAGGUCACACCCAGCAAAAGGGUACUCCUGGGCCAUUAGCUCAGGUGGUUAGAGCGCACCCCUGAUAAGGGUGAGGUCCCUGGUUCAAGUCCAGGAUGGCCCAUUCGGUGUUGGGGGUAUAGCUCAGUUGGUAGAGCGCCUGCUUUGCAAGCAGGAUGUCAGCGGUUCGAGUCCGCUUACCUCCACUGAUCGACCUCCUGAUGACGAAGCUUGAGGAGACUUUUUCUGAUGUGAUCUAGUAUUUGUUCUUCAUUGAAUGAACCUAGCUUCUUGUCAAUAAGACUGAGAUUUUUUAGUCGAUUGAUAGGACGCUGGGCUCGCUGCAAUACCAAUUGCAGAGAAGUUCAGUAGAACCUUGACAACUGCAUAGGUGAGUCUGGAAAAAAAUAAAGCAUCUCAUGGAUGCAUUAUUUUUUGAACCAAGAUUUCAGUUUUCUGAUUCAAUUCAGAAGUGAAUUUUGGCUCAAAAGUAUAAUGUUCAAUUCUUGAGCAAGAGCCGAGACUCUAUAACU
rnacentral:tRNA from 1 species